rnacentral:lncRNA from 1 species
AUUAAAACAAGUUAACUAAUACUGAAAUUUCAAAUCAUGUUCUCACUUAUAAUACCAGAUGAUUUUUAAUUGCAGAUUUAGUACCUCAAGACAAACUCUUAUGUGGAUUCCAGAUUCUUUUUUUUCCAGUUUGCUGAGUGGGAGAAUUUCAACACUUCGAGAUGAAACUGGUGCUGUGAGUAUAAUAAUAAUUGAUACAUAUUCCUAAAUUAAUGCUUAUAGUGCUUGGUCCUAACAUAUAGUUACUCUAAGAAUAUAGGAGAACUGAUAUUUUAAUAAUCACUGAAUGAAAGUGGCAUAAUUUUAUUUCUUGUCAUAUGUAGUUUUUUAUAAUCAGAGAAGAUCCCUAAGUAGGGAAUACUAUAUAUGGCAAUUUAAGUAUUCAUGAUUAGAGAGAUUGUAGGAUAUGAGCUUACAUUGGCAUUAGAAGAAAUUUUUUUAGAUCAAUAAUUGAAACUUUAACAGUAAGUGGAUAAAUGUAAAUAUUCUAAUAUUUUUAUAUUAGAAUAUAAGAGGUUAAAUUAGUAAACUCCUACAGUUUUUUAUUUUAUUUUGGAGAAUAACCUUGCGAAUUUGUUUAUACAGCAUUGGUACAGUGAGGGAAGGAAAGAAUUGUAAAGUUUCAGUGCAAAAAAAUUGGUUUAUCCAUUUGGAGGCAACAAAGUGACCAAUGGUAUUUAUUUGCUGUGGUGAGAUUUGCAGAUGAAAUAAGGCAACAAAUGCAGAUAUGUCCAUGUGAAAUUAUAAAAAGUUAUCAAUAAUAAGAUCUCCACAAAUCUGUGAUGUCUCUUCGAUUUUUGAUGUGCUCUAAU